rnacentral:rRNA from 1 species
CAGUAGCCGCGGGAAUACAGAGGUCCCGAGCGUUGUUCGGAUUCACUGGGCGUAAAGGGUGUGUAGGAGGUUGGAUAAGUCAGGUGUGAAAUCCCGCAGCUCAACUGCGGAACUGCAUUCGAUACUGUUCAACUAGAGGAUCGGAGUGGGAAGCGGAAUUCUUGGUGUAGCGGUGAAAUGCGUAGAUAUCAAGAGGAACACCGGUGGCGAAGGCGGCUUCCUGGAAGAUACCUGACUCUGAAACACGAAAGCCAGGGGAGCGAAUGGGAUUAGAUACCCCGGUAGUCCCUGUCUCUUAUAC